rnacentral:lncRNA from 1 species
GUGCUCUUAGUUUUAGAUCUAAAGUUACAGUUUCGGGACAAAUUUUUGAAUGCAAAGAGUUCUUUUUAACACUAAAAACAUCCGAACAAGAGGCUGCGAAAAUUGGUAUUGGGUUCAUUGGUGCCACAAUCGAGUUCAAAGGCUAGUUCUUGAAACCACAUUUAUGUUUUUUAUUUUUGUUUUCUAUGUUGUUAAUUGUUUUUUUUUUGCUAUCUAGAGUUUGAGAAAUUGCAUUGGUUUUCAAAAAUUACUGGUAACCACCCAGAAAUUAACAAUUAUUAAAAAUUAGGGCGGAAUGAGAGGGAAACUAAAGCGUUUCAAGAAAUGACGAUUGCUAGAUUUGUUGACGGAAUUGACAAUUGCAAGAGGCAUUUCCGGAAUUAAUGACUGCAGUUGAUAUCAAGGUUAGUCUGCAGCAUUUUUCUAUUAUAUUAGGUUAAGAUCCGC